GCUACGGCUAGCAUGCUAGCAGCAGCAGGUGCCCCAUCACGUCUGCCUUCACCGGGGAAGCCGCGGGCCGCCCAUCGGAAACGGGAGACGAGCAGAGUCAGGCCAUCUGAAACCUUGGUAGACACCAUGUUCAUCAGGGAAAGCUAACCGGAUUGCUGAGACAACACAUGCUGGAAGAGGUUUCCUCACAUGUCGUCCAAGCACUCCAUGUGCCCAGCGUACCAUCUGCCUGUAGGCAGUAUACCUGAACUGUUCAUUUUGGGUCAGAUCAAGUGGACCAUGUUCCUGCUUGAAAGCGCUGUAGGCCACCUGAAGCACCCAGGGGUUCAAACAGCAUGCAGAGAACCCAGGAUGCUGUCCCACACAAGUAAUGCCUUCGGGUUGUGGAUGGAGGUCUUCGACGAGGCUCCAAAUUGCAGGAAUCUCCCUGCAGCAUAUGCUCUCCUCCGCACUGCUCAUGGGCUGACAGUGUCCACAUAAACACCUGUAAUUAGAUAACAUGCUGUUAAAGAAUUUCUGUUGUUAAAUGUAGAUACAGUGUUGUAAAUAUAUGUUCAACCAUGUAAAGAUUUUUAUUUUUUUUACUUUUACAUACAGGCUUUAAAAAUUAAAUGUUUAUAUUUCAUCCGUAGUCAUAGCUGCUUAUAACAUGCUGAAACAUUUAAUGUAAUACAUAAAGCUGAGAUGCCCUUU